rnacentral:rRNA from 1 species
AUGUACAAUAUGGUGAGUGGCAUGCAACCUGCGCUACCGAACGAGCCGAUGGGGUUGGCUUCGUGGGGGCAGGCGGGGAGGAGGAGAUGGACGAGGACGGCGCACGGAGGCGGGGGAGGAGGAGAUGGACGAGGACGGCGCACGGAGGCGGGGAAGGAGCAGGUGGUGCUGAUGUGGGGCUACCUCUCCGGCGUCUCGCUGCAGCGCUCGCUGCUGCUUUGCCCCGUGCCCGUAAGGCUGCCCCCGGCAGUGGCCGACGACGCCUGGAGGGAUGUCUGCGGCUGUGGGUGCGGCUUCGCCAUGGCCAUCUUCGGUGACGCCUGA